AGAGUUUGAUCAUGGCUCAGGACGAACGCUGGCGGCGCGCCUAACACAUGCAAGUCGAACGAGAGAGGGGGAGCUUGCUUCCUCGAUCGAGUGGCGAACGGGUGAGUAACGCGUGAGGAACCUGCCUCAAAGAGGGGGACAACAGUUGGAAACGACUGCUAAUACCGCAUAAGCCCACGGCUCGGCAUCGAGCAGAGGGAAAAGGAGCAAUCCGCUUUGAGAUGGCCUCGCGUCCGAUUAGCUAGUUGGUGAGGUAACGGCCCACCAAGGCAACGAUCGGUAGCCGGACUGAGAGGUUGAACGGCCACAUUGGGACUGAGACACGGCCCAGACUCCUACGGGAGGCAGCAGUGGGGAAUAUUGCACAAUGGGGGAAACCCUGAUGCAGCGACGCCGCGUGGAGGGAGAAGGUCUUCGGAUUGUAAACUGUUGUCGCAAGGGAAGAAGACAGUGACGGUACCUUGUGAGAAAGUCACGGCUAACUACGUGCCAGCAGCCGCGGUAAUACGUAGGUGACAAGCGUUGUCCGGAUUUACUGGGUGUAAAGGGCGCGUAGGCGGACUGUCAAGUCAGUCGUGAAAUACCGGGGCUUAACCCCGGGGCUGCGAUUGAAACUGACAGCCUUGAGUAUCGGAGAGGAAAGCGGAAUUCCUAGUGUAGCGGUGAAAUGCGUAGAUAUUAGGAGGAACACCAGUGGCGAAGGCGGCUUUCUGGACGACAACCGACGCUGAAGCUCGAAAGCGUGGGUAUCGAACAGGAUUAGAUACCCUGGUAGUCCACGCGGUAAACGAUGGAUGCUCGCUGUUUGCGUCUGACGUAAGCGGCCAAGCGAAAGCGUUAAGCAUCCCACCUGGGGAGUACGCCGGCAACGGUGAAACUCAAAGGAAUUGACGGGGGCCCGCACAAGCGGAGGAACAUGUGGUUUAAUUCGAUGAUACGCGAGGAACCUUACCCGGGCUUGAACUGUAGGCGAACGAUUCAGAGAUGAAGAGGCCCUUCGGGGCGCCUAUGGAGGUGCUGCAUGGUUGUCGUCAGCUCGUGCCGUGAGGUGUCGGCUUAAGUGCCAUAACGAGCGCAACCCUUGUUCGUAGUUGCCAUCGGUUAAAGCCGGGCACUCUGCGAAGACUGCCUCCGUAAGGAGUGAGGAAGGUGGGGAUGACGUCAAAUCAGCACGGCCCUUACGUCCGGGGCUACACACGUGUUACAAUGGCAUGUACAGAAAGCUGGGUGUAUGCAAAUACGCUCGAAUCCCUAAAACAUGUCUCAGUUCGGACUGGGGUCUGCAACCCGACCCCACGAAGCUGGAUUCGCUAGUAAUCGCGCAUCAGCCAUGGCGCGGUGAAUACGUUCCCGGGCCUUGUACACACCGCCCGUCAAGCCAUGAAAGCCGGGGGCGCCUAAAGUCCGUGACCGCGAGGGUCGGCCUAGGGUGAAACCGGUGAUUGGGGCUAAGUCGUAACAAGGUA
rnacentral:rRNA from 1 species